rnacentral:rRNA from 1 species
CCUACGGGAGGCAGCAGUGGGGAAUAUUGCUCAAUGGGGGAAACUCUGAUGCAGCGACGCCGCGUGAGUGAUGAAGUCUUUCUGUAUGUAAAGCUCUUUUUGUAGGGAAGUAAAUUACUGUACCUGAUUAAUAAUCCCUGGCGAACUACGUUCCAGCAGCCGCGGUAAUACGCAGGGGGCAAGCGUUAUCCGGAUUUACUGGGUGUAAAGGGAGCGUAGGCGGCAGGACAAGUCAGUUGUGAAAUGCUGGGGCUUAACUCCAGAACUGCAGUGGAAACUGUGAGGCUGGAGUGCAGGAGAGGUAGGUGGAAUUCGUGGUGUAGCGUUGAAAUGCGUAGAUAUUAGGAGGAACACCAGUGGCGAAGGCAGCUUACUGGACUGUAACUGACGUUGAGGCUCGAAAGCGUGGGGAGCAAACAGGAUUAGAUACCCGAGUAGUC